rnacentral:rRNA from 1 species
AGAGAGAGACAUGCGCGCAUAUCAAUAAGCGGAGGAAAAGAAACUAACAAGGAUUCCCUUAGUAACGGCGAGUGAAGCGGGAAGAGCUCAAAUUUGAAAUCUUCAAGGUUUUACCUUGACGAAUUGUAGUUUAAAGAAGUGUUUUCUGCUGAAGUUUUGGUAAAAGUUCUUUGGAAUAGGACAUCAUAGAGGGUGAGAAUCCCGUAUUUGACCAUUAUUUUCAGCUUUGUGAUACACUUUCAAAGAGUCGGAUUGUUUGGGAAUGCAGUCCAAAAUGGGUGGUAAAUUUCAUCUAAAGCUAAAUAUUGGCGAGAGACCGAUAGCGAACAAGUACCGUGAGGGAAAGAUGAAAAGAACUUUGAAAAGAGAGUUAAACAGUACGUGAAAUUGUCAAAAGGGAAGCGUUUGACACCAGUGUUGUUUUCUCGAAAAUCAAUUAAAAAUGGCUCGAUUUUGUAUUGUUGAGACCUUAAAAGCUCACUGUACAUUUUUCGUGUCUUUUUUAAUGCACUUUUCGUUUAACAAGUCAACAUCAGUUUCUUUUGUUGUAAAAGGGUCAUUGGAAGGUGGCUUUCUUUUCGGGAGAAAGUGUUUAUAGCCUUUGGCCUCUGCAAUCGGAGAGACUGAGGUCUGCAGCGUAUACUCUUCGGGGUUAGAUACAUUUGUGCUAAGUUAUAGCUUUUUAUAGACAACUUGUUGACUAUAAUUAGUCUUGUAGCUUACUCCGCUUAUGCUAUUUUACCUACGCUUAGGAUGUUGAAGAUGUAGCACAUCAU